UGCGGAGGAAAAGAAACCAACUGGGAUUACCUUAGUAACGGCGAGUGAAGCGGUAAAAGCUCAAAUUUGAAAUCUGGUACUUUCAGUGCCCGAGUUGUAAUUUGUAGAAUUUGUCUUUGAUUAGGUCCUUGUCUAUGUUCCUUGGAACAGGACGUCAUAGAGGGUGAGAAUCCCGUUUGGCGAGGAUACCUUUUCUCUGUAAGACUUUUUCGAAGAGUCGAGUUGUUUGGGAAUGCAGCUCAAAGUGGGUGGUAAAUUCCAUCUAAAGCUAAAUAUUGGCGAGAGACCGAUAGCGAACAAGUACAGUGAUGGAAAGAUGAAAAGAACUUUGAAAAGAGAGUGAAAAAGUACGUGAAAUUGUUGAAAGGGAAGGGCAUUUGAUCAGACAUGGUGUUUUUUGCAUGCACUCGCCUCUCGUGGGCUUGGGCCUCUCAAAAAUUUCACUGGGCCAACAUCAAUUCUGGCAGCAGGAUAAAUCAUUAAGAAUGUAGCUACUUCGGUAGUGUUAUAGCUUUUUGGAAUACUGUUAGCCGGGAUUGAGGACUGCGCUUCGGCAAGGAUGUUGGCAUAAUGGUUAAAUGCCGCCCGUCUUGAA
rnacentral:rRNA from 1 species